rnacentral:rRNA from 1 species
GAUGAACGCUGGCGGCGUGCCUAAUACAUGCAAGUCGAGCGAACGGACGAGAAGCUUGCUUCUCUGAUGUUAGCGGCGGACGGGUGAGUAACACGUGGAUAACCUACCUAUAAGACUGGGAUAACUUCGGGAAACCGGAGCUAAUACCGGAUAAUAUUUUGAACCGCAUGGUUCAAAAGUGAAAGACGGUCUUGCUGUCACUUAUAGAUGGAUCCGCGCUGCAUUAGCUAGUUGGUAAGGUAACGGCUUACCAAGGCAACGAUGCAUAGCCGACCUGAGAGGGUGAUCGGCCACACUGGAACUGAGACACGGUCCAGACUCCUACGGGAGGCAGCAGUAGGGAGUCUUCCGCAAUGGGCGAAAGCCUGACGGAGCAACGCCGCGGGAGUGAUGAAGGUCUUCGGAUCGUAAAACUCUGUUAUUAGGGAAGAACAUAUGUGUAAGUAACUGUGCACAUCUUGACGGUACCUAAUCAGAAAGCCACGGCUAACUACGU